rnacentral:rRNA from 1 species
AUUGCCCUAGUAACGGCGAGUGAAGCGGGAACAGCUCAAAUUUGAAAUCUGGCCCUUGGGUCCGAGUUGUAAUUUGCAGAGGAUGCUUUUGGUGCGGUGCCUUCCGAGUUCCCUGGAACGGGACGCCUUAGAGGGUGAGAGCCCCGUACGGUUGGCCACCAAGCCUGUGUAAAGCUCCUUCGACGAGUCGAGUAGUUUGGGAAUGCUGCUCAAAAUGGGAGGUAUAUUUCUUCUAAAGCUAAAUACUGGCCAGAGACCGAUAGCGCACAAGUAGAGUGAUCGAAAGAUGAAAAGCACUUUGAAAAGAGGGUUAAAUAGCACGUGAAAUUGUUGAAAGGGAAGGAUUUAUGACCAGACUUUUUCUGGGGGGAUCAUCCGGUGUUCUCACCGGUGCACUUCCCCCAGUUGAGGCCAGCAUCGGUUUCUGCCGGGGGAUAAAAGCUUCGGGAAUGUGGCUCCCUUCGGGGAGUGUUAUAGCCUGUUGCAUAAUACCCUGGCGGGGACCGAGGUUCGCGCAUUGCAAGGAUGCUGGCGUAAUGGUUAUUAAUCACCCGUCUUGAAACACGGACCAAGGAGUCGAACAUUUGUGCGAGUGUUUGGGUGUUAAACCCUCACGCGUAAUGAAAGUGAACGGAGGUGAGAGCCUUUCGGGGUGCAUCAUCGACCGAUCCUGAUGUCUUCGGAUGGAUUUGAGUAAGAGCAUAACUGUUCGGACCCGAAAGAUGGUGAACUAUGCGUGGAUAGGGUGAAGCCAGAGGAAACUCUGGUGGAGGCUCGCAGCGGUUCUGACGUGCAAAUCGAUCGUCAAAUCUGCGCAUGGGGGCGAAAGACUAAUCGAACCAUUGACCAGCGGUCAAAACAAUCACUAGGUGGUUAAGAGGGGGCCCGCGAGGGCCAUGGAGAAAAACCUAG